CUUUGAAGUCCAAACAGAUGACUGGGAAUGCUUUUGUUGCAUUCUUUGGGACCCAACACAUGCCGAUUGUGCUGUACCCCAGGAACUAGAAACGGAUGAAGUCAUGCAGCAGUUAAAGUAUGUGGAAAUGUUGAGACCCCGGCUUGCUGCGAGAAGGCGCAAAUUGGGCAGUUUGAAGGGGAGCGACUCACAGGACAGGUUGAGAUUAUGACGAAAGGCGAGGAUGAUGAAAGGCUAUUAAGUUGUAGAUGAGAAGAGGCUGAUGAUAGCUGUAAGUUUUGAGCUACAUGUUGGUGAGGACUGAGGAGGCUCUCUUAGGAUUAGCAUAGCUUAUAUUUGUUGGGUUGUGAGUUUUUUGCUCAUCUUUAGCAAUGCCAGUGUCUAGCUAAAAAUUGUUGGCUGUUUGAGCGUAUUCUCCAUAUUUGGAAAUUUUUAUUUUGCUCAAUAUAUUUUGCUGGCAAAAAAGCAGGUGAUUUAUAUAUGUUGAAAUGGGAAACCAGGUUGAUAUGUGUUGGUUGGGGGAAACCUAUUUCAUGAAUCACCUCUUCCAUUAGGCCAUUAUGAUUGGUAAAAGACUUAAUUCGUUUUA